GUACCUUUGGUUGACCUCUGCUUACUCAUACAUUAUAAACAAACCAGAUAAAACAAGACUUAAACUAUUUUGGGUUCAUUAUACGGUGAAAAAGAGGUUGUUAUAGCACCAUUUAAACAACAAACUGCUGAUUAUCUCCACAGACAACAGCGAGCGACAACGAGAAAAACAAACUAUUCCUGGAUCUAUAAACAUAAGAGCGACAGACUAAAAAAUACAUUACUCCAAGAUCUUUUCAGACUAGAGCGAGUUUCAAAGGUUAUAGGUAAAGUGAUGCUUUGACUUGCACUACUUAUAAGUACCAAAUUUGAUCUUGUUAGAUUUUAUAGGAAUGAGGAAUAUGACUUCAGGAAGCUUGACGCUUAAAAGGAAUAAGGAAUAUGGUUUCUGGAAGUUUGAAAACAGACUAAGAAAAUAAUUCCAUUUCCUCAGCCACUUAAGAUAUUAAUAGGUAUUAGACUAGCAUUUUAACUGAAAACAGAACUAAUAGUGCCAUCAAAGGGAAAAAUACACUGUAAAAAAGAAAAAUUUUAGUAACUCGAACUUAUACGGGAUAUUUUGAGGCGUGAUAGUCAUUAUGGAGUAAUUAGCUAAUAAUUUUACUCUUAUUCUUGAGUAGGUGUUAUUAAAAUUUCUAUUUGUUAUA